GUUUAUUCCCGAACUAAAUUAGCAGCUUGUGGAGGUUUAUUAGCAUGUUUUGAGAGUGUUCGGAAGUGUUUGAGGCAAAGUAGAAGUGAAAAAUUACCUUGGAAGUAAGUGUGCUAGUGCAGAUUUUUCACUAAAUGCAGCAGGGGACUAUUUUGUAAGGUUGCAGGGACCGUUUUGUAAAGCAAAAUUCCUGUUUUUUGGGGGUUUAAGUGCAAUAGCUGCAACUGCCGCUACUAUUGCUGAAUGUUGCUGCUACUGCUAAUUGCAGGUGCUACUGCUAUGGUUAUUGUUGCUGCUGCUGCUAUCAAAUGCAGUAAACUGCAGGGACCUAAUUGUAAAGACAGAAUUUCAGCUUGUAGAAGCUUAGAAACUGCAUCAUGGAUAAUAUACAUGGGAGUUAUUGGGAGGCUAAGAUGAAACCAGGUUCUAAGAAGUUGGAAACUAUAUUAGUAUGUAAGAAAUUUAGAAGUUAUGCUAAGAUAACAUGUAUACUAUGUGUAUAAAUGUGAAGUAGGCAACCUGAUUAUGUUUCUUUGAAAAGGGUUAUUGAAUUCAAUCGAGAAAAGAGUUGAACAAAGGAUUUCAUAAGUGCUGAAAUUCUAAAUACCAUGGAGAAUCUAUAGAACAUGCGUUGGUAUGAAAGUAAGUUACAUGUAAUUAAUUAUGCAUAGGUAAAAAUGCAAAUAGCGAUAGGUUGAUCUCUUCCCUGCUUAGUGUUAUGGUAUUCAAUUUAGAAAAGAAUUAGAGCUGAGAAUUCUUGGUUGUUAGUUUGUGUAGCUGCUAUGAACCUAAGCCUUAUGUUAUAUGUAUGGUAUACACAUUAGUGAAAGGUGUAACCGAGACAAGUGGAGUUAAUUCCUGUUUAGUGUUAUGAUGAUUAACUUGGAAAAAGAGAUGGUUGAUUCUAAAAAGGUUUGUCUAUUAUUUAACAUAGAUUGAGAUAAGUUCUCUAAAUUGCUUGAGUUAAAGCUUAGAUGGCUAUGUAUGUUUCUAUACAAAUUUUGUAGAAUCAGGUUAUGUGAAAUCUAAGCUCGGAAAUGCAACUUUGUAGGAUUGGAAAGCUAGCUUGCAAUUGGUC
rnacentral:lncRNA from 1 species